AGAUAGCUCAGUUGGUAGAGCACACCCUUGGUAAGGGUGAGGUCGGCAGUUCAAAUCUGCUUCU
rnacentral:tRNA from 1 species